rnacentral:rRNA from 1 species
UGGGGAAUCUUGCGCAAUGGGCGAAAGCCUGACGCAGCCAUGCCGCGUGGAUGAUGAAGGUCUUAGGAUUGUAAAAUCCUUUCACCGGGGACGAUAAUGACGGUACCCGGAGAAGAAGCCCCGGCUAACUUCGUGCCAGCAGCCGCGGUAAUACGAAGGGGGCUAGCGUUGCUCGGAAUUACUGGGCGUAAAGGGAGCGUAGGCGGGUCGUUAAGUUGGGGGUGAAAKCCCGGGGCUCAACCUCGGAAAUGCCUUCAAUACUGGCGACCUUGAGUGUGGGAGAGGUGAGUGGAACUCCGAGUGUAGAGGUGAAAUUCGUAGAUAUUCGGAAGAACACCAGUGGCGAAGGCGACUCACUGGCCCAUUACUGACGCUGAGGCUCGAAAGCGUGGGGAGCAAACAGGAUUAGAUACCCUGGUAGUCCACGCCGUAAACGAUGAGUGCUAGUUGUCGGCAUGCAUGCAUGUCGGUGACGCAGCUAACGCAUUAAGCACUCCGCCUGGGGAGUACGGUCGCAAGAUUA